rnacentral:rRNA from 1 species
UACGUAGGGUGCAAGCGUUAAUCGGAAUUACUGGGCGUAAAGCGUGCGCAGGCGGCUUUGCAAGACAGAUGUGAAAUCCCCGGGCUUAACCUGGGAACUGCAUUGGUGACUGCAAGGCUGGAGUGCGGCAGAGGGGGAUGGAAUUCCGCGUGUAGCAGUGAAAUGCGUAGAUAUGCGGAGGAACACCGAUGGCGAAGGCAAUCCCCUGGGCCUGCACUGACGCUCAUGCACGAAAGCGUGGGGAGCAAACAGG